UGAUAAUAUAACAUGGUCUGGUAGGUGAUAUUAUAACAUGGUCUGGUAGGUGAUAUUAUAACAUGGUCUGGUAGGUGAUAUUAUAUUAUAUAUAGUAAUGGUUAUACAUGGUCUGGUAGGUGUUGCAGCUGAAGUUCUUGUUGCUGAGGCAGGUUAGGAACCCUCUGGAGAUGCUGGAGAGGAGUGGUUUCAGUUUCACCUCCAUCCACACCUUUAUCAGGUCCUCAUCUUGGUAGGCUUCUGUCUCUGGGUUCACACUGAUACCCAGCUCUAGUUUGAACACUGGGGUCUGGGAUAGACUGGAUCUCUGCAGAGGGGGAGACAGGGGUUAAAGUUCACACUGAUACCCAGCUCUAGUUUGAACACUGGGGUCUGGGAUAGACUGGAUCUCUGGAGAGGGGGAGACAGGGGUUAAGGUUCACACUGAUACCCAGCUCUAGUCCAAACACUGGGGUCUGGGAUAGACUGGAUCUCUGGAGAGGGGGAGACAGGGGUUAAGGUUCACAAUGAUACCCAGCUCUAGUCCUAACACUGGGGUCUGGGAUAGACUGGAUCUCUGGAGAGGGGGAGACAGGGGUUAAGGUUCACAAUGAUACCCAGCUCUAGUCCUAACACUGGGGUCUGGGAUAGACUGGAUCUCUGGAGAGGGGGAGACAGGGGAUUAAGGUUCACAAUGAUACCCAGUUCUAGUCCGAACACUGGGGUCUGGGAUAGACUGUAUCUCUGGAGAGGGGGAGACAGGGGUUAAGUAUAUAAUAACAUGCUGGUAGACCUCAGCUUCUGUGUUGUCAGAUAUCCAGUUGUAGACCCAACAACAGGGAUAGACUGGACCUCUGGAGGGGAGGGAGAGAGACUGGUUAGGAGACUAUAGCUCGGCAGGGGGAGAGAGACUGGUUUGGAGAUUAUAGCUCUGCAGGGGGAGAGAGACUGGUUAGGAGACUAUAGCUCUGCAGGGGG
ensembl:lncRNA